UUCCCUACGGGGCGCAGCAGUGAGGAAUAUUGGUCAAUGGGCGAGAGCCUGAACCAGCCAAGUCGCGUGAGGGAGUACUGCCCUAUGGGUUGUAAACCUCUUUUGUCGGGGAGCAAAAGCCGGACGUGUCCGGCUGUGAGAGUACCCGAAGAAAAAGCAUCGGCUAACUCCGUGCCAGCAGCCGCGGUAAUACGGAGGAUGCGAGCGUUAUCCGGAUUUAUUGGGCGUAAAGGGAACGCAGGCGGUCUUUUAAGUCUGAUGUGAAAGCCUUCGGCUUAACCGGCGUAGUGCAUUGGAAACUGGGG
rnacentral:rRNA from 1 species